rnacentral:rRNA from 1 species
UACGGGGGGAGCAAGCGUUGUUCGGAUUUACUGGGCGUAAAGGGCGCGUAGGCGGCCAGCACAAGUCAGUUGUGAAAUCUCCGAGCUUAACUCGGAAAGGUCAACUGAUACUGUGCGGCUAGAGUACGGAAGAGGAGAGCGGAAUUCCUGGUGUAGCGGUGAAAUGCGCAGAUAUCAGGAAGAACACCCGUGGCGAAGGCGGCUCUCUGGGACGGUACUGACGCUGAGACGCGAAAGCGUGGGGAGCGAACAGG